rnacentral:sRNA from 1 species
UAGAUUUGGAAUACGCGGGGUGGUCGGUUUGCGAGAGCUGGAUACAUGAAGCUGCGGCUGGAAUGAGAUGGAAUGAGAAUUGGGAAUGGGAGUUUGAGGCGGUCAUCACGUGUCGGGGUCAGAGCUCAUCUGGGCAGCCGGGGCUUCAAAAGGUACCCUGAAAAUUCGAAUUGGAUAAAUCCAUAGAAAUCCACAUUGGAGGGUCAGAAUGAAGUUCAGCUUCGCAACAGUGAAACCCAAUUUCAUAAUUCAGCGUACUUCGGUGAAGUGGAAACAAAAAUUUCAAGAGAGAUGAUAUAUAUAUAUAUAUGUAUAUAUUGUACAGUACAUGAGUGCGGAAUACUUCGUUGUGGAAUUACGGGAAGGAGGUAUAAAAGAGAAUCAGAAUACAACGGAG